GACGAACGCUGGCGGCGUGCUUAACACAUGCAAGUCGAACGAUGAAGCCGGAGCUUGCUCCGGUGAAUUAGCGGCGAACGGGUGAGUAACACGUGAGUAACCUGCCCUUGACUCUGGGAUAACUGCGGGAAACUGUAGCUAAUACCGGAUACGACCCUCGGAGGCAUCUCCUGGGGGUGGAAAGAAUUUCGGUCAAGGAUGGACUCGCGGCCUAUCAGCUAGUUGGUGAGGUAAAGGCUCACCAAGGCGACGACGGGUAGCCGGCCUGAGAGGGUGACCGGCCACACUGGGACUGAGACACGGCCCAGACUCCUACGGGAGGCAGCAGUGGGGAAUAUUGCACAAUGGGCGCAAGCCUGAUGCAGCAACGCCGCGUGAGGGAUGACGGCCUUCGGGUUGUGAACCUCUUUUAGCAUGGAAGAAGCGAAAGUGACGGUACCUGCAGAAAAAGCACCGGCUAACUACGUGCCAGCCGCCGCAGUAA
rnacentral:rRNA from 1 species